rnacentral:rRNA from 1 species
CAGCCGCCGCGGGAAUACGAAGGGGGCUAGCGUUGUUCGGAAUUACUGGGCGUAAAGCGCACGUAGGCGGAUACUUAAGUCAGGGGUGAAAUCCCGGGGCUCAACCCCGGAACUGCCUUUGAUACUGGGUAUCUCGAGUCCGGAAGAGGUGAGUGGAAUUCCGAGUGUAGAGGUGAAAUUCGUAGAUAUUCGGAGGAACACCAGUGGCGAAGGCGGCUCACUGGUCCGGUACUGACGCUGAGGUGCGAAAGCGUGGGGAGCAAACAGGAUUAGAUACCCCAGUAGUCCCUGUCUCUUAUAC